rnacentral:lncRNA from 1 species
AGUCAAAAAGGCUAAAUAAAACAAUAAACACAUAAUUAACUGUAAUUAAACCAGUUUAGGUAUAAACUAUGAUUAAAGCACAAUUGGACCCUUGUCUGAAAUCUAAGAGCAUAUCCAUAACAGUUGAGACUCAUUCCAAAUUUAUAAAUACUAGAGAAGAUCCAACGUCAAAAGUAAUCUUUCACUCUUAACUCAUCGGCAUAUUGUACUCGGACUAACUUGAGCGUCGGAACGUCUUCGUAGGUACCCUACCCCGUCGUUCUUGGAGAAAAACUUGCAAGAUGGAGAGACACCGAACAAGGGCUGUGGGGACGAGAAGACGGAAGCUACGAGAGUGAUUCUGAAAGGUACCCAACCGACCUGUAAGAAUAUAUAUAUAUAUAUAUAUAUAUUAAAUUACGGUAUUAAUUUGAAAAAAAAGCAUGAGAAAUAAAAAAAGGUGUAAGAAGUAUAGGAAGUGGGAGAUUAGUUAAAAAAGAGUGAGAUUAAAUAGGCAUAAAACUUUGUGAGUGAUCCGUUGAAGUGUAUGCAUAAUAAUGCAGUGCAUGUGGUGAAGAGGGAAUGAAUUGGAUAACUAGAAAUGAAGUGAGAUGCGGGAUCACGUGAGUUUCCAUAAAAAAAUACAAAUAACGGAAGAGUGAAACGAGUGUAAUAAUGAUUUCUUUAAUUUUCCAAAUUAGUACUACAAUUUGAAACUUUAUAAAACGAGAUUCCAAUAAAUUGAAAAAAAAAUGUUUAUAUGGUAAGUACUGGAGAAUUGAUGUUAAUGAUAAUUUAAAUUCAUCUUUCUUUUAAAUAAUAAUACGAAAAAAAAUGGGAGUGGGACCAUGGGGAUGGAGUCUUUUUGAAAUGGCUUUAAUCAGGUUGUCGUUCUAGGUUGAAACCUCUCUCAUUGCUUCAACGGUUCACUCACUCACUCACUCUCUUUUUUUCUUUGCUUCAGUUCACACUUCCUAUUCAGAUUCUUCAUUCGUAUUUAUAUUAUUGCUUACAGAGGUAAGCUGCUACUACUCCCACUACUUCACUUCUCUCUCUCUCUCUCUCUCUCUCUGAGUAUUUGGUGAAUGAAAUGGUGUGAUGUGAUUUGCAGAGGAGAAGAGGGAAUGGCUUACAUGUGUGCAGACAGUGGGAACCUCAUGGCC